AUGCCAGAAGCCACGCGCAGGGCGGCGCGGCAGGUAGCGGCGCCGCUCCGUCGUGGGCGAGGCCGUGGCCGCGCUGUGGAAGUCGAAGGGGAAGAGGAAGGCUGGGCCAAGAAGAGGCGCUGGGGAUGGAGUGCCGCCAUGCUUUCGGUUGCUGGUUCGCUGUUGUCGCUUCGUUUGCUUCCUGGAUCCUGGACUGGACUGGUAAGCCGGUGUCGCGUCGAUGAACUGACGAAGUUAGGUUGGGGAUGGAAGCGAUGGAGGAUGGACCGACGAAGUUGGUUAUUUAUAGGUCGGGCUCCCGCGGAGGAGUGGGUGAUGGAUUUGACCGAGCAUGCGUUGGUCUUGGUCAAUUUCCUUGCCGAGAAUUGUGGUUUGAAGUGCGUGCGUUGA
rnacentral:rRNA from 1 species